ensembl:lncRNA
GAAAUUAUUUAUACUUUUGUUGGUGGAAAGCCAGGGGGGUCACAUUGAAGAAAACAUCUACAUUCAAAACCAAACGUAACUUUAAACCAAACCAUACGUUAUUACUUUAUGGCAAUAUCCAUACGGCAAGUUUAUUUGUUUGUGUGUGUGUGUGUGUGUUCUCGUCAUCAACAAUGAACUAAUUGUGUUUCCUCCUAACAGGGAGUGAGCGACUGUGCAAACUGAUCGUGCCAUACUGAAAGGAACGUCAUGGCAAGUCCCCAUCCUUUGGAAUAAAGAGCAUCACCUUGUCACGCAGUCAGAAUCGACAGAGGGUUGUGAUGUCAUGUGUAAAACAAAUGUCUCUGUUUAUAUAAGCUCAGUCGCAGCAGCAGCCGUGACAUCGUGACGUCAGCCCCGUAGCACAAGGUGCGGCUCACACAACGGCCACGACCUGGAUUUAUUUGACCGUUGACAUCCGAAUAAUGUAGUCUUCAGAAGUAUUAAUAAUGACGCCAAAGAAAAUACUGAUUAUCAAAACUCCCAGCUUAGGUAGAUACUCCCUAUGCAUUUGUCUACAAGGUAAAGGGUUGCUAUUAUGCCUGUGUCAGUAGGUUAAAGGCAAGACAGACCAACACGAAUGUCAGCUGUGCACAGAGGACCGCCUACUGGGCGACGACAGAAUGGUGGCGACUCAACGUGUAGAAUCGCUGGGAAAUGAUCUGAAAAUCACGGCCAGUGUACUGUUGUCAGCGGUGGUGUGACGUCCAACCGCUGCGCACCUGCGGUGCACGGCCGACGUUCCUGUUGGUCUGUCUUGGCCUUACGACUAUAUAUGAGCUUCGCCAGUGUCCGUAGCUGAAGUUAUCUACUGUCAGAGAUGAUCAACAUGCAUGUGUCAGAGAUGAUCAACAUGCCUGUGCUUGUGUCCUCACUGCCCUGGCCCUGGAACCAGAGGACAUAUUUACAGGGUGUACUAACCUUAACGCCACACUGCUCUCCUCUCCACCUCACUCAGCUAACCUUAAUCCCUCCUAUCCAGCAGCCCACACAGCUCUGAGGGCCAACGGAAACAGAAUCAAUGCUUUAUGAAUAUGUAUAUAAUGUAUAAUGACAUUCUCAAGUCCAAGUGUAUUUGUGAUGCCAUUCGUGUUUGAUUGUCAACGUUCUUAUUGUCAUAUUCAGAAGCGAAGGUGAAGCUAGCUGUAUUAUGCUACGCUGGGCAAAAAGGUUUUGGACGUACGUGAUCAAGUGCCUUUCCUUUACUAGUCGUUUAAUUUAUGUAUGUGGAUUCUGUGUGUGUGUGAGAGACCACAUGGCAAGUUUACCUCAGAUGACCCCGCUGACAUGAGGCGUCCGAGCUGAAUUCAAGCCGUGACAAAUGGGUUCUGGGCCUGAACAGCAGACAUUCCACAACAUGUUCCUCUUCAGCAACUCCUCCUCUCCUUCCUCUCCUUAUCCCUUCCUACACUUCUCCUCGAAACAUCUAUCUCUUCAAAGGUUGUAAGAAUGCACUUAUCAAUCAAACAUAAACCUGUUGUAUGUAUUGGAAGAGGUUGUGGGAAUCUCCCUGAACAUGAACUUCCGAGGAAGGCAAGCCUUUACAGAGCUAUUUGAAUGCAAUGUUCUACAAAGCUCUGGCGUAUUUGCAGAUGAAUAAAGGAAAAAGAGACUGGUGUUAGUAGAAAAAGAGAAGUGAACCCCUUGGAUGUUAGUAUCGUAAACCUUUCUUGAUCAGUGAUGUGGAGGUUGAGAGAAAAUAUAGCGCUGUGUUUAAACAGGAUGUGUAGGUUGUAGCAUCCUAUCCUCCUCCCCCUGCAAUAUCCCCCCAUUUCUUUAUCCCUCCCUCCCUCCCUCCCUCCCUCCCUCCCUCCCUCCCUCCCUCCCUCCCUCCCUCCCUCCCUCCCUCCCUCCCUCCCUCCCUCCCUCCCUCCCUCCCUCCCUUCCCUGUUUCUCUCUGAUUUUCCAGAAUGCUCCUCCACAGAAUCCUGCCACCUGUGUCAGUGAAAAUAAAAAGAAAGGCUAUUGGUAUUCCUCUUUGAGGCUGGUUAAGGUAAGUGCCAGCCCCCAUUACGAUGACAAGGCAAGUAAUGAUGCCGCUUGUUCCGCGGUUCCCCAUGAUUUAUUUAUGCUUUCCCAGGGAGUGAUCCUACCACCUCCAUCCCCAGUCCUACCCACUCGCGACAUUUUUUAAGAACACAUGCAGUCGCCACAGGUUAACGUCGGCGCCGCCAUUGCAUGUCUCAGGCGGACCAUACGGGAACGCAGGAGGCUGAUGCAAUGAUGUGCUGGGAUACCCUGAGUUUUAAUCACGUGUAACUGUAGCAUUACAGUCAGAGAAAGCAAAAGAAUUGUCCAAAUAAAAGAAUCAAU